AGUGUCUGUCCUCCACCUCAGUUCCAUAAAGGGACACUUGCCACUGGGUCCACCUCGCUCCACCAGGGAAUCCAGGAGGAUCAACCAAGAUUUAAUUUUUCCAAGUAUGCACUGCCUGCUUCUGUGGUUAUUUUCGCCUAACAGCUGUGUUUCCGGCAAGCAGCUGAGGGGUUCUUCUGACUCAGCAAAACCAGAGAGCUAACUGUCAAGAAGUCGCUCGAGCGGGGCUAGAAAUAAAGAUGCCGUUCCUCCAGCAUCACCCCCCCAGUCCCCCCCUCAACUCCAUUCACUUCCUUCCCCAUGGGUACCUUUGAAAAACCUCAUAAAGUGCUUUUUAAAACCUGC